CCUACGGGAGGCAGCAGUGAGGAAUAUUGGUCAAUGGACGAGAGUCUGAACCAGCCAAGUAGCGUGAAGGAUGACUGCCCUAUGGGUUGUAAACUUCUUUUAUAAAGGAAUAAAACGAGGCACGUGUGCCUUUUUGCAUGUACUUUAUGAAUAAGGAUCGGCUAACUCCGUGCCAGCAGCCGCGGUAAUACGGAGGAUCCGAGCGUUAUCCGGAUUUAUUGGGUUUAAAGGGAGCGUAGAUGGGUUGUUAAGUCAGUUGUGAAAGUUUGCGGCUCAACCGUAAAAUUGCAAUUGAUACUGGCAGUCGUGAGUACAGUUGAGGUAGGCGGAAUUCGUGGUGUAGCGGUGAAAUGCUUAGAUAGCACGAAGAACCCCGAUUGCGAAGGCAGCUUACUAAACUGUGACUGACAUUGAUGCUCGAAAGUGUGGGUAUCAAACAGGAUUAGAUACCCCAGUAGUC
rnacentral:rRNA from 1 species